rnacentral:rRNA from 1 species
UACAGAGGUCCCGAGCGUUGUUCGGAUUCACUGGGCGUAAAGGGUGCGUAGGUGGUCGGGUAAGUCUGAGGUGAAAUCUCCGAGCCCAACUCGGAAACUGCCUUGGAUACUAUUCGGCUAGAGGGUUGGAGGGGGGACUGGAAUUCUCGGUGUAGCAGUGAAAUGCGUAGAUAUCGAGAGGAACACCAGUGGCGAAGGCGAGUCUCUGGACAAUUCCUGACACUGAGGCACGAAGGCCAGGGGAGCAAACGGG